CUUUUAACAAAGGUCUGGAGAGAUUUGAAGAGAGACAGAUCCAAAAUAGAGAGAAACUUUCACAGCCCUAAAAAAAUCUGGGGAUAUCCUCAUGAAUGAAUAGAACUGGAGUUAUCUUCAGAAGUGUGGAAAAAGAUAAAGAUGCCCAAGGUCCACGACCAAAAAGAGUCUACAAGCAAGGUGUGGUCAAAGUGAUAAGAGUCUAAAAAGACCAAGGGAGAGAAGAAAACUUGCAGAGAACUAGCAGAUCAUCAUAGUAAACUCUGCUCAGGCCAUUUUGGUACUGGAAAUGACAGAGAAGCCAGAAAUGGUAGCCAUGCCAUGCCAUGUCAUGCCAUUUUCAAUGACAAAAGAAGGAAAGAGUUUUCCCUUUCUCUUCCUAGUCCCCAAGGAGAGCGGCUGUAAAUAGUAGUAUAUUAGCUAUGACAACUGGCAAAUAGCUAUGCUGUCCCUAUGUCAUGGCUGCUUCUGUGGGUACCAUUGUGACCCCAGCAUGAGUCAAGAUGAUUAUCAGAAUGUCUAGCAGAUUACCCAGGCCUUGCACCUGGAUCAAUGGGCUGCCCUAAUGAAGGAUAUCAAAAAUGAAGGGGCAGCUAAAGAAAAAUAAAAGACACCUCAGAAAGUAGCCUGCCUCUUUGACAAGGGACAUGCCUUCAGAGGAACAUAACAGAAACCUCUGAGAAUUGUCAACAAUAAAAAGACUGAGCAACAAGGGAAACUGGUAGGAAGCCAAAGGUUUUAAGAGGUGAGAGUGGAGAAAUGCUGUGCUUUUAUUGAUCCUCUCCAAAGGAACACCUUUAAAAAAGCAUGAUAUAAAUUGGCACUAAUCCUCAUAAGAGAAGAAUGUCAGCCAAGCCAGUGAAGGAAUUUUGGAGUUCGCUUUGAAGACUUAUGCACUCUCCAGCUGGUCACAGACACUACACUCACCCAUUUUGUAAAUACACUUUUUUUUGUUUUGUUUUUUAAGCUUCUCACUUCAGUAUCUACCAGACAGGCUUGUGCAAGGAGUGAACUAGUAUUGUAUCUGUUAAUUUCUUUGCAGGCAAAAAUCAAGUUACCAGGAAAAUAUUUUUUAAAAACCACGAACAGUCUAAGAGCACUGAACAUUUUGAAUCAUUUGCCUUUUCUCAACACUGGAUUUUAAGCAAGGAACAAGACUAUUCCAGUUCUAAAUGCUUUAAUGAACAAGGGGUAUUGGGUUUUAGCAUCAACAUGAUCUAUCCUCACUCUGAAGCUUUAACUUGAGUAGCUGCUGUGCUUUGUAAAGCUUCAAUCCAAUUCAUUUGAUAACUACAAUUACCAAAUCUGGGCAUUGCUGACUACACAGUUCAAAAAAACAGCAUGGAGGGAAGACCUGCUGAGAACCUUAGAAUCUAUCGAUAAGCUCUUGAAAUGGUUUAAAGUAAUAAACCACUUCAAUUGAAAGGGCAAUAAAAUGUUUUUCGUGUAUAUAUGUACAUAAGAUUUCCUUCUAUUUCUCUUAUUUUCAAAAAGAACUUAAG
rnacentral:lncRNA from 1 species